UAGCUCAGUGGGUUAGAGUGUUGUCCUGAUAUGCCAAGGUUGCAGGUUCAAUGCCUGC
rnacentral:tRNA from 1 species